rnacentral:lncRNA from 1 species
AUGGCCAACAAAAAUUCCAACGAAGGAGUUAAGACUGAAAACAACGAUCAUAUUAAUUUGAAGGUGGUGGGACAGGAUGAUUCUGUGGUGCAGUUUAAGAUUAAGAGGCAUACGCCACUUAGUAAAUUAAUGAACGCCUACUGUGAAUGACAGGGAUUGUCAACGAGGCGGAUCAGAUUCCAAUUUGACUGGUAACCAAUCAAUGAAACACAUGUAACUGCGCAGUUGGAAAUGGAGGAUGAAGGUACAAUUGAUGUGUUCCAACAGCAGACGGGA